CUGGCUCAGGACGAACGCUGGCGGCGUGCUUAACACAUGCAAGUCGAGCGGUAAGGCCUUUCGGGGUACACGAGCGGCGAACGGGUGAGUAACACGUGGGUGAUCUGCCCUGCACUUCGGGAUAAGCCUGGGAAACUGGGUCUAAUACCGGAUAUGACCUCAGGUUGCAUGACUUGGGGUGGAAAGAUUUAUCGGUGCAGGAUGGGCCCGCGGCCUAUCAGCUUGUUGGUGGGGUAAUGGCCUACCAAGGCGACGACGGGUAGCCGACCUGAGAGGGUGACCGGCCACACUGGGACUGAG
rnacentral:rRNA from 2 species